rnacentral:tRNA from 2 species
GCGCGAGUAGUAUAGCGGUCAGUAUGGGACGUUGCCAACGUUCCGACCCGGGUUCAAAUCCCGGCUCGCGCA